AGUGAACGCUGGCGGUAGGCCUAACACAUGCAAGUCGAACGGCAGCACAGUAAGAGCUUGCUCUUACGGGUGGCGAGUGGCGGACGGGUGAGGAAUACAUCGGAAUCUACUUUUUCGUGGGGGAUAACGUAGGGAAACUUACGCUAAUACCGCAUACGACCUACGGGUUAAAGCAGGGGAGCUUCGGACCUUUCGCGAUUGAAUGAGCCGAUGUCGGAUUAGCUAGUUGGCGUGGUAAAGGCCCACCAAGGCGACGAUCCGUAGCUGGUCUGAGAGGAUGAUCAGCCACACUGGAACUGAGACACGGUCCAGACUCCUACGGGAGGCAGCAGUGGGGAAUCUUGGACAAUGGGCGAAAGCCUGACCCAGCCAUACCGCGUGGGUGAAGAAGGUCUUCGGGUUGUAAAGCCCUUUUGUUGGGAAAGAAAAGCAGCAGGUUAAUCCCCCGCUGUUCUGACGGUACCCAAAGAAUAAGCACCGGCUAACUUCGUG
rnacentral:rRNA from 1 species